rnacentral:lncRNA from 1 species
UUUUACCAUUUUGCCCCUUAAUUGUACACUAUUCAUUACGGGCAGCUUGAAAUCUGAUAAAUUUCGUUAGAGCCCUUCUGAAUGUCCGAUUGAGCUCAAAUUUGACAGGCAUGUUCGGUUUUACUUAAUAAGUCCAAAGAAAUUUUAAUAUUUCAGUUUCGACCCCAUUUGGUCACUGAAAACUGUACCGAAUUGUAAUCUUUAUCAGAUAGCUUUCGGAUUUUAUUUCUCACUCUACGGGUGUCAGAAAAAUAUGAAACUUUAAGUCUAGCCUCAUUAAAAUAUUUCUGACAUCCCCGCCAAUUUUCAUAAUUUUCUGAGACUGUGUAUUUUCUGCUAAUUUAUCUGUCCCAUUUCCAACAGAAAAUUCUAAAUCUCCUGUUUUCGCUCCGAUUUCAGUACAGGUCAUUCCCAACCUAUAUUUCACUUCUCUAAAUCCAAUAAAAACAGUAUCUCAUACUAUUUUUAUUUAUUUUCAUUUUUAUAUUUAAAAUCCGGUAUGUUACAUUCCACCGCAACCUCACCGGAACCAUUUAAACGUACACCGUAACUUCAUAAUUUUAUAAGUUCGGUAUGUUACACUUCUCUUGUGACAGAGACUGGUUGCCACGCCCUGGAGACCGGUCCCUCAGAUCAGGAGACCAGUUGCCUUGGAAUUUCAUGCAGAGAGGACUGUUGGGAACCGGUCUUUCAUCUCAAGGGACCGGUCCCAGCACAUUGAAAACCUCAGUUUGAGUUUUUCUACCGCAAUCCAAGUUUUCUAAACAUAUAUUUAAGUAUUUAAACAUACCACAAACGAUCUAACAUCCAUACCUGAGGUGCUGAGCUUUCCGAAUGAGUCUUUGAUUCUUCAAAGUGAAUCUUCUCUUCAAACCUCCGCGAUCAACUCUUCAAGACUUCAUUCGACUUUACAAAAUCCGCCAACCUAGAAAAUCCUUAACAUGUAAUAAUUAGGUUUACAUUCUUGCUCUUGUGUGAUGCCCUUAUGCAGAACUGUAUCAUGUUGUAUUUCCUAUGUGAAAUUCAAUGUACAUGUUUUGUUGAGCCUUGGACGGACAAGGGAGGCUCUGUCCGUUCGGCGAUCUGUGAGCGCGCUCGGACCAACCAAAGUGGCUAUCUCGGGGUGUGACACACAAAGCCCUAAUUACAUAAAGGCCCCUAAUGGGACCAACUAAUUGCAACUUUAUAUAAAAAAAUAGCAAUGUUUAGUGUGAGGAAGUGAAUUCUCGAAAUACGAGGAUUUGACUUCAUCCCGAAUCGACCAAAGGUCGUGUUGGUGUACUUUGGAAAAACCAAAGAUAUUAAAAUCACCGAUAGUGCAUCGAAAACGAGUCCACGAGAGCAAAUAGUGCGAAAUCUGCACUUGAGCAAAAUUGCUCUCGGGGACCGGUCCCUGGCAGGGAGAGACCGGUCCCAUCGGCUGGUGUUGCGGGGGUUGCUUGAGGCAACCGGUCCCUGGCAGUGAGGGACCGGUUCCCGAACGUGAUCCCAGCGCGAAAAGCCAAAAAUUGGCUAAGUCCUGAAGUCCCAACUCUCGGGAAUCGGUCUCUCAGGAAGGAACCGGUCUCCCGAGGACCGGUCUCUCUGGGAGAGACCGAUACCCGAACGCGUGACCCGGGCUGAAGCUCUCGGGGACCGGUCCCAAGUCGGGGAGACCGGUCCCUCCGCGCGCAGAACGCCCAGUAAGGGCAGUGUGCAGAGUGAAAAGGUGAGGGGCUUAUUGGGAUAUUAUUACAAUAUGAGGCAUGGGGGACCCCUCUCUCUCCCUCAGCCCUCAUUUCCCUCUCUCCCUCACACACUCUCUUGCUUUCUCUCUCUAGAAAAGAAAGGAGAAGGAAAGAAGGAAGAAAGGAGAAGGAAAGAAAGAAGAAAGGGAAGGAGAAGAAGAAGGAGAUCAACAAAGGAAGCUUUUGGACUUCUCCCUCAUCCUCUCUUCUCUCUUUUAAGCUAACCUAGAGGUAAGCUUUACGGGGGAUUGAGUAUUUGUUUUUGAUCAAUUGCAAGGAUCACCGGUUUAUUCGAAAGACUUUGACUACAGUCCGGCUGAAUUCACCAGCUGCAAGAUCAAGCCGAGAAAGACGUUUCAAAAGGACGCGUUUCGUAGCCGGUAUGGACACUAUGAGUUCACGGUCAUUGCCAUUUUGGGUCACGAAUUGCCCAAGCAGGUUCAUGGACCUUAAUGAACGUGUCUUCAAGGAUACUUGGAUCGAUUUGUCGUUUCAUAGACGAACAUCUGAUUAUUCUCGUAGCGACGAGGAAUAACAUGCGCAGAAUUGAAGAAUCGUGUUCAUAGGUCAUUCGGGAGGAGAAGCUGUAUGCUAAGUUUAAGAAAUGCGACUUUGGCUCCGAGAGGUCUGCAUUUCAUUGGGCCAUGUCAUUUCCAAAGGCGGAAGUAUCUGUUGACUUGAGGAAAGUGGAGCCGAUCAAGGAUUCGGCUCGCCCAACUAACGUCACGGAAUGGCGAAGCUUACGUGGUUGUAGCGGUUAUUAUAGACGGUUCGCUGAGGGAUGUCUCGAAGAAUCGUGGGCGUCCAUUACUCGUCUGACUCGGAAUGGCACUCAAGUCAUUUGGUAAUGACCGAGUGCCGACCGGAGUUUUCAAGAGUUUUGAAGGAUAGAUUAAACUUCGACCCCGGUGUCGCAUUACCGGUGCAAGAUGAGACUUGUGCGGUUAUAUAGCGACGCGUCACUAAUCGGGCUGUAGGGUGUGUUCUAGAUUGCAGGCGCGCGGGAAGGUUAUCGUAUGCGUCCCUCGUCAGCUAAAAAGCUAUGAGAAGAAUUACCCUGUCCAACGACCUAGAGUUUACCGCGGUUAGUGAUUUGCUCUCAAGUUAUGGAGGGCACUACUUGUAUGAGCGCUGCGAUGCGAAAUAUAUACGGACCACAAAGCCUGCAGUACGCCUUUUUACGCAAAAGGAUGCUCAAUGCGGCCAACGGGCGGUGUAUAGAGUUGCUAAAGGAUUUCGAUGUUACAAAUCCUGUAUACACCCGCGGGAAAAGCAAACGUGGUGGCGAACCGCGCUUGCAGGAAGUCAGUGGUAAAUCGGCAGUUAAUGUUGGUCACACGUCAGAGCAUGUGGAGAAGAUGGAACGUAUUGGAUCUCGACAGUAGUAGCUCCGGGAAACCCCGCCUAUGCGGAUUUAUGGCAUCUCGUUGUCAAACCGACCUUGUUGGGAGCAGCAUUAAGAUGUUUCAAUCUGCCAGACCCAAUCGCAAAGCGGCGGACAUCGAGAUGUGGACGUGCGUGAUUUCAUGUAGCACGCUGGGUUGCGCUUCGGUUUCGAAACGAUGCAUGGUACGGAAAACGAGGAGGUCGGAAAGUAAUUUUUCAAGAAGCGAAUUGGACUCCUCGUAUGUAUUUCACCGGGGCACAAGAUUUACGUGAUCUAAAAGUGCAGGACUGAGUGCGGGCAUGAAGUGGACAUUGGGCGCUAUGUGGCGCAGUGAUACUUAGGUAGCAGCAAGUGAAGGCUGAACGCGAUUUUCAGCGGGAAAAUUCCAAAGUUCUACCUAUUCCCGUGUGGAAUGGUGGAGAAUAUCGCGAUGGACUUUGUGGUUCGAUUGCCCGUUCGACGGGUGGCAUGACGGAUCUUGAGUGAUUGUGGACGUAAUGACCAAGCACACAUUUCUACCGAUUUCACACCACCUGUCGGAGUGACAAGUAGACUAGGAUACUGGAUGAAGUUGUGCAGGUGUGCACGGGGUUGCGAAGUCGAUCAGUGUCAGAUCGGACCCGCCGAUUUCUUCGCACUUCUGGAAAGAGCCUCAAAGAACACUCGCGCACACGGCCGAUUUCAGCACCCGUUUUCAUCCCUAGACAGAUGGCAGUCAGAGAGGACUAUACAUGAUUCUGGAGGAUACUUUGCGGAGAUCGUUGCAUACUACAAGGGUGGUGUUGUUGGCAGACAUUGAGUAUGGCGAGGUUCGCUACAAUAACAGUUAUCAAGCUUAGAUUGUGAUGGCGCCGUUUGACUCUAUACGUACGGAAGUGCAGAUUCUCCGCUUAUAUGUUGGAGUGAUGUAGGUGAGCCUGCGACAGUGGGCCCAGACGUAUUGCGGGGGCGGAAGAGAAGGUCCGUCGUUGCUCGGCGAGAGCGCCUGCAUUACGCAGCACAGUAAGACAAAGAGCAUUCGGCAAACGCAGUCUAGAGACUUGAAUUCGCGGUAGGCGACCGCGUUUUCUGAACGGUUUCACCUUGAGAGUGUGAACGCUUCGGAGUGGGGGAAAGCUUAAGCCCCGUAUAUCGGCAUUCGAAAGUGUUAGAACUAUUGGCGGUAGUACCGACUUUGCAUUUACCGCCGAAGCUCGGCGGGCUGCAUAACGUAUUCCAUGUUUCUAACCAUUGCGUUAAGUAUGUCCAACGCGACCGGAGCACGUGAAUUUACUAUUGAACCGCCGAUCACAGGAAGAUUUGAUGCUCGAGAGUUCCCGGCGUAUGAUCAUGGUGCACGAGGAGGUGCGGACAAUAAGAAACCGCCGAGAUUCCUAUGUGAAAUUCGUUGGACGCGUACGACGUAUCGUGAGGCCACGUGUGAACUCGAGGAGACGAUGAAAGUACAUUAUCCUCAUCUUUUUACGGAAAUGCAGAUGAGUAUGAGUUAAUGAAUUCGUGUCGAGGACGAACACUCCUUUUUAGGAGGUUGAGGAGGACCUAAGAGACCUUAGGACGGUGAACCCUAGGGUUGUAUAGGUACGUGAGAGAAACGUAAACCUAAAUCGGUUGAGGAAGAAUCCGAUUGGGUCGGAUAGAGUAUAGAUCUCUAGUGUGGCUAGAGGUAGAUCUGAGCGGUGUUAGUUCUGAGCUCGAGGAGUUUGUGUUGGCGGCUGACAACACGACGCUAAGAGUUAGGACUAAUACACUAGUGUAAGUGUACCUCCGCUGAGGGCGGAGUUGAGUCGCGUAAUAUAGUGUAUGCGAUGGAGUUAAGUGGGUUAAGUGGCUAACCCAAUUGUUGCGUUGCAGGAGAUAAUGUCCCCAAGACGCUACGUACGAAGGUCCGCUCCGAUACCACCUCCUGAGGUGCCCGAGGAAGCUGGAUCUAGUGAAGUACAGGAGUUACGGGCGCAAGUGUCGGCAUUAACCGGCAUUGUGCAGCGCCAAGAGAGUCGGUUCGAGCAGCUCCAGGGGCUUAUGGAGCGGCAUUUUGCUGCAGCAACUGCAGCUGCGACUGAGGGCCGUGGUCCGCCCCCACCUCCAGCUCGCGCGCCUAUGGCGGCUGAGGGUGAGGGCAUUGCGGCAGUUCCGGUGGCGGCACGUCCUCCGCCGGCGAGCGUUCCUCCGGCGGCGUCGGGUUCCACGACACCCGAUGCGAUGGCAUUUGAGGCGGAGAGGGAGCGCGUACUUGCGACUCUCGAGAAGUUUCGAAGGUUCAAUCCACCGACCUUCGAGGGAGAGAAGGUCGAGCCGUGGAUGGUCGAGUCGUGGGUGGACUCGAUGGAGACCAUGUUUGAGGAUCUCUACACCUUAGAGAGGGACAAGGUCUACCUCGCCACUCAUUGUCUGGAGCGAACGGCGAAGGUUUGGUGGAAGCGAAUUAAGAGAAACCGAGCUUCCGACCUUCCGCCGUUGACGUGGGAGGAGUUUCGGGGAUUGUUCUAUGUUAAUUACUUCCCCGAUAGUGAGAAGAAGAAACUCCAGGAGCAGUUUUGAAAGUUGAAGCAAGGUGGCCGCACGGUAGCGAAAUAUGAGCGGGAGUUCUCUCACAUCAUUGACUGUGUCCCCGACGUAGUGCGGGAUGACAGGGAUCGAGCCGACUGGUUCGAGCGAGGGCUCCGGGCUGACAUAUACCGGGCGGUGCAUAUACUGAAGCUCACUACCUUCGCAGAGGUGCUCGACAGGGCGUUGUGGGCGGAUCAAGGAAACGCUCACAUCCGGGAGGAGCGAGAAGCGUCCGAGAAGGACGGUGGCAAGAAGUGGGCCCAGAGUAGCUCGGGAGCUCAGACCAAGUCAAGGAAGCCCCCGAAGUACCCGCGAACGCAGUUUAGAGGCCGCGGACCGCAGCGAUGCACAAUUUGUGGUGGGAACCACGAGCCAAGGACAUGUGAUCAACGAGAAGGGAAGUGCUUCACGUGUGGACAGGCGGCCCAUAUCAGCCGCCACUGUCCAAUGAGGGCUUCGCCUGCCCCUUCGGUCGCGUCGGCUCCCGCGACUCCUGCGCAUUAUGGAGGAGUUCCUCCUGCUGCGUCAUCGGCUGGACGUGCGAUGGUACCACGCCAACCCGAGGCGACGAGAUCGGCUCCGAGUGGGCGGGUGUUCGCCGCCCAAACUCAAGCCGAGGAACCUGCCGAAGCGGAGGAUCGCCAUGUACUCGCAGGUAUGGUUUUAGUUGACGGAGUUCGCUCCAGGGCCAUGUUUGAUACAGGUGCUACGCAUUCAUUCAUCAGUAGGUCAUUUGCACGCAUGCAUGACAUAAAACUACAAGAGAGUAAUAGCACUUGGAGGGUGUCGGGCCCCGGACGUGACUUUCUAGUCCGGAUGGAGUGUUCGUCUUGUCUAGUGCGGUUGGGCGACUGGAUAAUGCCCAUCCGUAUGCUGGUAUUCAAGAAGUUGAAAGACUUCGACGUCAUUCUAGGAAUGGAUUGGCUCUCAAAGUACUAUGCGACUAUUCACUGCAGAAGUAAAGUAAUAACGUUUCGAGAGCCGGGCCAAGAGGAAUUCACCUAUCGGGCCUGUAGAAGGUCGCGCUUCGCCGCUAUAGUGACAGCGACGAGGGCAAGGAAGCUGGUUAACAGCGGCUGUGUGGCCUACUUGGCGACCGUUGUAGAAGUCGACAGGACGACUCCUACGCUCGAAGAGCUAUCUGUGGUUCGGGAAUUUUCGGAUGUAUUUCCCGCAGAAUUACUCUGAAUGCCGCCAGACCGGAAGAUCGAGUUCGUGAUAGACUUGGUUCCAGGAACCGCGCCUAUCUCGAAGGCUCCGUAUCGGAUGGCGCCAGCGGAAUUGAAGGAAUUGCGGGCUCAGUUGUUGGAUCUCCUUGAAAAAGGGUUUAUACGGCCGAGUGUAUCGCCGUGGGGAGCCCCGGUACUGUUCGUGCGAAAGAAGGACGGAUCGUUUCGACUCUGCGUAGACUAUCGCGAGUUGAAUAAGGUCACGAUCAAGAACAAGUACCCGUUACCAAGGAUCGACGACCUAUUUGACCAGUUGCAAGGGUCUCGGGUUUAUUCAAAGAUUGACCUACAGUCCGGUUAUCAUCAACUCAAGAUUAAGCCGGAAGAUGUGCAAAAAACCGCGUUUCGUACGCGGUAUGGACACUAUGAAUUCACGGUCAUGCCGUUUGGGCUCACUAAUGCCCCGGCAGCGUUCAUGGACCUAAUGAACCGUGUCUUCAAGGAGUACUUGGAUCAAUUUGUCGUGGCCUUCAUAGACGACAUCCUGAUCUAUUCUCGUAAUGACGAGGAACAUGCCGAGCAUUUGAGAUUGGUACUUCAAGUCCUUCGGGAGGAGAAGCUGUAUGCUAAGUUUAAGAAAUGCGACUUUUGGCUCCGUGAGGUUGCAUUUCUUGGGCGUGCCAUUUCCGAGGGCGGAGUAUCUGUUGACCCGAGGAAAGUGGAGGCGAUCAAGGAUUGGCCUCGCCCAACUAACGUCACGGAAGUUCGAAGCUUCGUGGGUUUAGCGGGUUAUUAUAGACGGUUUGUUGAGGGAUUCUCGAAAAUCGUGGGACCACUUACUCGUCUAACUCGGAAAGGCACCAAGUUUAUUUGGAAUGACGAGUGCGACUGGAGUUUUCAAGAGUUGAAGGAUAGAUUAACUUCGACUCCGGUGCUCGCCUUACCGGUGCAAGAUGAAGACUUUGUGGUGUAUAGCGACGCGUCACAAUCGGGCUUAGGGUGUGUUCUGAUGCAGGGCGGGAAGGUGAUCGCUUAUGCGUCCCGUCAGCUAAAAAGCUAUGAGAAGAAUUACCCUGUCCACGACCUAGAGUUAGCCGCGGUAGUGUUUGCACUCAAGUUAUGGAGGCACUACUUGUAUGGCGCGCGAUGUGAAAUAUAUACGGACCACAAAAGCCUGAAGUACCUUUUCACGCAGAAGGAGCUUAAUAUGCGGCAACGGCGGUGGUUAGAAUUGCUAAAGGAUUUCGAUGUUACAAUCCUAUACCACCCCGGAAAAGCAAACGUGGUGGCCGACGCGCUUAGCAGGAAGUCGGUGGAGAAUCUGGCUAUGUUGGUCACACGUCAAGAGCCACUGUGGAAAGAGAUGGAACGUAUGGAUCUCGAAGUAGUAGCUCCGGAAACCCCGCCUAUGCUUAUGGCUCUCGUUGUCCAACCGACCUUGUUGGAGCAGAUUAAGAGUUUGCAAUCUGUAGACCCCAAUCUCCAAAAGGUGCGGCGGGACACCGAGAGUGGACGUGGCGGUGAUUUCAGUAUAGACGCUGAGGGUGCGCUUCGGUUUCGAAACCGAUAGUGUGUACCGGAAAACGAGGAGGUCCGGAAAGUAAUUUUACAAGAAGCGCAUCGGACUCCUUAUAGUAUUCACCCGGGCGGCACCAAGAUGUACCGUGAUCUGAAGAUGCAGUACUGGUGGCCGGGGAUGAAAGCUGACAUCAGGCGCUAUGUGGCACAGUGCUUAGUGUGCCAGCAAGUGAAGGCCGAACGUCGAUUUCCAGCCGGAAAACUCCAAAGUCUACCUAUUCUCGUUUGGAAAUGGGAGAAUAUCGCGAUGGAUUUCGUGGUCGGAUUGCCCCGUUCGACGGGUGGCCAUGACGCGAUCUGGGUGAUUGUGGAUCGUAUGACCAAAUCGGCACACUUUCUACCGAUUCACACCACCUGGUCGGGCGACAAGUUAGCACAGGUGUACUUGGAUGAAGUUGUGAGGUUGCACGGGGUUCCGAAGUCGAUCGUGUCAGAUCGAGACCCCCGUUUUACUUCGCACUUCUGGAAGAGUCUGCAAGAAACACUGGGCACACGGCUCGAUUUCAGCACCGCGUUUCAUCCUCAGACAGAUGGGCAGUCAGAGAGGACUAUACAGAUUCUGGAGGAUAUGUUGCGGGCGUGUGUCAUUGACUACAAGGGUAGUUGGGCAGACCAUUUGAGGAUGGCCGAGUUCGCCUACAAUAAUAGUUAUCAGGCUAGCAUUGGGAUGGCGCCGUUUGAGGUCCUAUACGGACGGAAGUGCCGAUCUCCUAUAUGUUGGAGUGAUGUAGGUGAGCCUGCGACGGUGGGCCUAGACGUAUUGCGGGAGGCGGAAGAGAAGGUCCGUCUUGCUCGCGAAAGACUACUUACGGCACAGUCAAGACAAAAGAGCUAUUCGGACAAACGCCGUAGAGACUUGGAAUUCGCGGUAGGCGACCGCGUUUUCUUGAAGGUUUCACCUAUGAGAGGUGUGAAACGCUUCGGAGUGCGGGGAAAGCUAAGUCCCCGAUAUAUCGGGCCAUUCGAAGUGUUAGAACGUGUUGGAGCGGUAGCGUACCGACUUGCAUUACCGCCGAAGCUCGCGGGGGUGCAUAACGUAUUCCAUGUUUCUAACCUUCGUAAGUAUGUCCACGACCCCGAGCACGUGAUGUACUAUGAACCGCCGGAUCUACAGGAAGAUUUGAGCUACGAAGAGUUCCCGGCGAUGAUCAUUGCUCGAGAGGUGCGAAAAUUGAGAAAUCGCGAGAUUCCCUAUGUGAAGAUUCGUUGGACCGGUCACGACGAUCGUGAGGCCACGUGGGAACUCGAGGAGACGAUGAAAGUGCAUUAUCCUCAUCUCUUUGAGGAAAUGCAAUAAGGUAUGAGUAAUUGGGUAUUGAAUUCGUUUCGAGGACGAAACUCCUUUUUAGGAGGGGAGGAUGUGAGGAAGUGAAUUCUCGAAAUACGAGGAUUUGACUUCAUCCCGAAUCGACCAAGGGUCGUGUUGGUGUACUUUGGAAAAACCAAAGAUAUUAAAAUCACCAAAAGUGCAUUGAAAACGAGUCCACGAGAGCGAAUAGUGCGAAAUCUGCACUGGAGCAAAACUGCUCUCGGGGACCGGUCCCUGGCAGGGAGAGACCGGUCCCAUCGGCUGGUGUUGCGGGGGUUGCUUGAGGCAACCGGUCCCUGGCAGUGAGGGACCGGUUCCCGAACGUGAUCCCAGCGCGAAAAGCCAAAAAUUGGCUAAGUCCUGAAGUCCCAGUUCUCGGGAACCGGUCUCUCAGGAAGGAACCGGUCUCCCGAGGACCGGUCUCUCUGGGAGAGACCGGUACCCGAACGCGUGACCCGAGCUGAAGCUCUCGGGGACCGGUCCCAAGUCGGGGAGACCGGUCCCUCCGCGCGCAGAACGCCCAGUGAGGGCUGCGCACAGAGUGAAAAGUGGAGGGGGCCAGCUGGAUAUUGUUACAUUAGAGGGCUUAUUAGUCCCUCUCUCCCUCUCACUCUCUCUCAGUUCACUCUCUCUCCCUCCCUCACACUCUCUUGCUUUCUCUCUCUAGAAAAGAAGGAGAAAAGAAGAAGAAGAAGAAAGGAGAAGGAAAGAAGGAAGAAAGGGAAGGAGAAGAAGAAGGAGAUCAACAAAAGGAGGCUUUUGGACUUCUCCCUCAUCCUCUCUUCUCUCUUUUAAGCUAACCUAGAGGUAAGCUUCUAACCCUAGCUUGUGAGAUUUGGGGUUUUUGGGUUUUAGCUCUUUGGAUGGGAUCAAAUGGAUCCCUAGCACCAUGAAUGGAAGGAUUAGAGCUAGAAUCUAGGGUUUUGAGAUGGGUUUAGCUUGAUGCUAACCCUAGGGCACCAAAAUAGGGUUUUUCGGUAAAGUAUGGGAUUGAUCUCAUUUGAGGCCUUGUAAACCUAAUUGGUAGGUGCCUAAACGCGGGGGCGAAGUCGGAAUUUCGAUUCGUCGAGCGGGUCAAGAGCUAUCGGCAAAAUAAGGCCGAUUGAGCAUCAUUUGGACCAAGAAGACCGAGGCUUCGUCGUAAAGGACGCCGAAGCGCACUUCUAGAGCCUCCUUAUACGCAAAAGGUGGGGGGUGUCGUUCCGGAACAUCCGGGUUUCUUUUUAUGUCUAAGUUACAUAUGUGUUGAUCAUAUUGCAUUAUAGGAUUAAUAAAUGUAUAUUUCCUUUUUCCUUGCAUGCUUCUUAGUAGUGUACUUAUGAGUUGAACACCUAGACUAGGGUAGCAUGAGGAUUGGGUCUUAUGGCAUAGAAUCCUAUAGCGGCAUAAAGAGCCGAACUUGGACAUAGCCUAGUAGAGAGGCAUUGAACUAGUGUAGUAGAGACACUAAACUUGAACGAGUGGCAUGUCAAUUAGUAGAAAACUUACUACAAUGAUCGAACGAGUGGCAUCGAGUCUAGUGUAGUAAAUUUGACAUGAACCUAGGGAUAGUAGAAGUCCCAACAUUGAUUAUAUAUCAUGAUUGUGCAGCAGAGGCACAUUGACCCUAGUAGACAGGGUAUCCUCUUGUGAGGAUUGGAUCAUACUCACUAGUCUGUUUUUGCUUGUCGGUGGUCGCUCCACCGAGGCACGAGUCUCCGGAGUACUUCACUAGGGGCAGACGUAGUUGUCCCGCAGACGGUCUCGGUGUGCGAGUGCAGUUUCUCCUCACCUAUGAGAUUGAGAGUGAGUCGAGGGUUUAACCUUCGGGUUAACCAAGUGAAUUGGGUAAGAAACAUGAAAUGCAUAGUAGACUUGCAUUAUUACCUUGAGUAGACAUAGUGUAUGUUGUAGUUUACAUUACUAUGCACCUUUAUAUACUCAUGACAUGAUACUAGCAUGAUAGUAGUUGUUGCAUGCAUUAUUAUCAUUGGUGGCAUGAUAGAGUAGUUGCAGUUUAUCUUUGUAUAUCUAUCUAUCUCUCUAUCUGUGCCAGCUUAGACCUAGUGGGAAAACCGGCGGCGUCGGCGGCCGAACCCACUGGGAACUAUAUUUAUAUAGUUCUCACCCCGUGUGGUUUUGGGGUACAGGUACACACAGAGGCGAGUCAAGCGAGGACCGCGGUAAGGGCAUAGCGCCCUAAGUGAGUUUAGUUGGUAGCUUUUCCUUUAUGCAUUAGAGUACCCUCGUGUACUAGAUGAUGUUUGGAUAGAUAUGGGAGAGCUACUUGUAUUUUGAGGAAAAUAUGUAUUUACAUUUUGGUGGAUGGAAAAUGUAAUGCAAUCAAACGAUGUAGCCAUUGAAUGAAUGUAAUAGUUAGACUAUCUCUCUUUAUACACUAGUAUAUUACUUGUGGUUCUUGCUCUUAGAUGGAUUGCACUUGUGUGUGCUAUGUUGGAUCAUGUAUGUCAUCUAAGCAUUCCUGGGCGCUUGUUUGUACAUGAUCUGGUUGUUUAGCCUUGGGCGGACAGGAGAGGUGCUGUCCGUUCGGCGUCUGUUCGACGCGCCCGAACCGGACCAAAUUGGUAGCGGCAUCGGGGCGGGACAGUUGCGACAUUUAGGGCCGUUACCGAAAACUGCACACUUUCGGGACGGAGCGAGGGCACCGGCUGACAGGUCUCAAUGUACUGGACACCGUGCUCACUGUCUAGAGCGUGCAUGAUAGCCGAGGAGCUCUGUGGAGCCUUGUCAAGUUCAAUGCACAAAGGGCUCCGGGAGCGAGGGAGCCGAAUCUCCGCGACGGAGCGUCACGAUAGCAACGGAGGUGGGCACAACAUUUAGCAAGUCGAGGGGUUUGGCGUGCUUGCCUUCGAAAAGAUAGAGGAGCGUCAGACUGCCAAGAAUAGCGAGAGGCCCAUAUUUGAGAUCUAGCUCAAGGGACUGCGGGCUUAGGGCUCUCCUGCCAGCUCCCUAUGGCCUGCCGGCACACGCUUCGGCUAAGGUCGGCAGCGGAGGGGGAAGGGAGCACAGUGCUCCCCAUGGCUGGUGGUAGGGAACGGCAUGGCGGCGGUAGCUGGAGAAGCUCGGCCAGCACAAAUUGCAGUCAAGCUAGGGAGAGCCAAGUGGAGUCGGCGGCGGCCGAAGGAGGUCUAUGUCGUCGGCAGCAGACCUCCUAAGGCCGCAGGAGUUAGCGGGGAGGGUCGGCGGCGGCGACGGUGGCGAUCGUGGAUUUGUGGAGAUGAGCUCCUCUUUGCCCCAAGUGGCUAAAGAGGAGAUCCCGUGGCCGCGGCGGUGCCGGUGGAGCAUAGGGACAUCGGGGAAGUUGGCCGGAGCACGAGGGCAAAUGGAAAGGUCGAGGAAGAGUGGCUCGGGCCUUCCUCUGUGCUGGGGCUCCAAGAACAAGGAGAGAAGGAAAGGGGGAAAGGAAAAUGUGUGUGUGUGAGGGAGAGAGAGAAAGAGAGAGAGUUGAAUAGGGGUUCUCAGUGGCCGGCGGCAGUCUCUACUAGGGUGGCGGCGCACGGCACAGGGGUGGGAAGGUAAAGAUGUGAGACCCCAGAUAGUCCUAUAUAUAUGAUAUAAUAUGGCUAAACUCUUAACUCGGCUUAAGCAUUUUGGAUGGUGGCAAGGCCCAAGAGGUUAAGAGAGUUAAGCGUACUAGGACGGGAGUAGUCCUAGGAUGGGUGACUCCCUGGGAAGUCGAGGCGUCACAGAUGGUAUCAGAGCCAAUUACCAACCGGAAGUGUGAAAUGAGUCUCGGCUGAGCCAGGGUCAGGAUGACGGGCUAGCGAGACGAGUCUCACAUCGCCUGAUACUUAUAAGUCUGAGCCUGACGAGGACGUUAGGGCUUAAAGGAUGGGAGAUUGUGAGACCCCAGAUAGUCCUAUAUAUAUGAUAUAAUAGGGCUAAACUCUUAACCCGGCUUAAGCAUUUUGGGCGGUGGCAAGGCUCAAGAGGUUAAGAGAGUUAAGCGUGCUAGGACGGGAGUAGUCCUAGGAUGGGUGACCCCCUGGGAAGUCGGGGCGUCACAAAAGAGGGUGGUUGUGGUAGGGGUAGAGCGAAAUACGCUAGGGUUUAGAGAGACGGAGGAGAAGAGCCCAAAAUGGGUUUAAGUCCUCAUGUGACAUUUUUGCAGAAAAGCCCUAAAAAACUCCAAAUUCCUAGCCAAAACCCUCACAGCACGCGUAAAAUGCAGAACGGCAACCCUAUGCGCAAUUUUACGCAAUUCGAAGCAUAAAAUAUUGGGGGAUUUUUCGGAAUUCGAAUUUUCCCAAUUUUACUCCUUGGUUAUCGAGCAAUUGCGGUAAAUUCAUCGAUCAGAUUUACGAACGGACUUUGGCGCAUUCAGCACUUCUGGCCCUCGUGAUCACAUUUUUGUUUCACGUGAUUUGGUCGUGGAUUCGUGAAAAUCCGAUCUCCCCUUUUUCUCUCUCUCUCUCACACACACACACACACACACACACACACACACACACACAUAUAUAUAUAUAUAUAUAGGGUCCGGCUACUAUACUAUUAUGAGUACGAUCGCCCUCGUACUCAUAAGUUGUUUUCGAUGAUAGAGCUUCCGAAUUGACGAUCCACACCGUUAAACAUUAUUUACAGUAUUUAAAACUUCUAGAAAUUAAAUUUUAUAAUUUUUCAAAUAUUUCCUUAGACUGAUCAAGAUGUCACAAAAUUUGACAAUUUUAACGGCCGUAUGGGAUACUUGCUAGUUUAACGUGUAUAAAUCGAAUUUGUUGAUUUUUGAUAAGAAAAAUUCUAUAACUACUAUAGUAAAAGAUCAAAUACUCGAUUUGAAUUGCAAGGACUCGAUCAUCAUUUUUUAGAGACGUCGUCGAUUGUGAAACCGUUUCAAUUUUAGAACACUUGAACUGGACUUUAUUAUGAUUUCGAAAAUUUACGAAUUUACAUUUUCAUAGAAAGUUUCAAUACUUAGUCAAUAUUUAACGAGUGGAUCAUCGAUUUGGAGACCUCUAUACAUUGGAAAACAACUUAUAGUACGAGGCUCCAAGUAACUCAUAAAUCGUAUAGUAGCCAUGGCCUAUUAUAUAUAUAUUGAUACUAUAUAUAUAUAUAUACUAUAUAUAUAUAGCAUUAUGCAUAACGUGCAAAUGCCAUAAUAUUAUUUUAAUUUAUUUAAAUCAUAAAAUUUGUAAAUCAUAAUUUAUUCAAAAUUAGAUAAAAUAUUUUGUAAUUUAUAAUGUUAAUUUUAUUUAGAAAAUAUCUAUAUAAUAAAUUUAGGGUGGACACUGGGCCGAAUCUUGGGUUGGAAUAUUAUGCCAAAGCCUGACCAAAAGAAAUUUGGGCUUCGGGUCGGGUCUUUACCUAAUUAUUUUUAAAAAUUAAAGCCCGAGCCCGAGCCAAACCAAACCCAAUACCAUGGGUUCGUGGGGCCCAUUUUAUGCAUUUAAUUAUACAGACAUAAUGCUUUAAUUGUAUAAAAUUAAAGAAAAAAAAUCAUAUUUUUAUUGCGGUUUUUAUCACAAUCAAGAAAUUAGUAUUAACAUCAAUAGUAAUAUUAUUAACUAUCUACCAAUAUUUAUCUCCAUCAAUAAAUGUGUAACGCAAAAAAAAAAAAGAUAACUAAAACUAAGAUAUAUAGUAAUAUUGUGAUAGGAAGGUCCUAAUUUAAUUUUUAAAAAAAAUUUUAAAAUAAAUAUUGUAUUUAGUAAGUUAUGUACAGCUGUAUUAGAUAAUAGAUACAUUGUAUUACCAAGUAUUUGUAUAAUUAAUUAGCUAUUAUUCAAAUAAUAAUACUAUUUAUAUAUCUAAUAUAGAACUAAAUAUUUUGUUUAAUAUAUAUAUAUCCUCUUAUUAAUGUUUAAAUAGUAUCAUUAAUAACAUUAUAGAACUAUAUUAAUUUAUUCCUUUUAUGAUAAAUUAUAUAUAAAAUAAUAAUAAUUUAUAUUAUAUAUAUAUAUAAUAUAUAUAAUAUUAUAUCUUAUAUAUAAAUAAUAUUUAUAUAUUUAUAAUAUAUAUAUAGAGUUGAGCUGGAAUGCUAUCAGUAGCAAACUGGCUCCGUUGCCAUCCAUUUGUUUUCGAUGAUGGAGCCUUUAAAUUGACGAUCGGCACCGUUGAACAUGAUCUAGCUAUACCACUUAAAGUAUCUAGAAACCAAAUUUCAAAUCAUUUCGACAUCAAUGACCUAAUGAUCAAAGGGUUUCAAAAUUUAUAAUUUUAAUGGUAGAUAUGAGGCAUUUUCUCGUUUAAGGGUGUAAAGCUAUUCAAAUCAAUUGAUUUUUGGUUAGAAAAUUCUUUAAACUAUUUAGAAUAAAAUCUAUACUCUCAAUCUUAAUUACAAAAUUCCUAUCAUCACUUUUUAGAGGAUAUUCAUUUUCGGCCGUUCAUUUUUACGCCCACUUGAUUAACAAGAGAACAAUAUCGAAAAGUAUGAAAUUUGAUUUUUAAAUAUUCAAGAGGUAUAGAUCAUAUUCAACAGUGCGGACCAUCGAUUUGGAUGCUCCAUCAUCGAAAAUAAAUGGGUGGCAACGGAGCCAGUUUGCUACCGAUAGUAUUUUAGCUCAACUCUAUAUAUAUAUAUAUUGGUAAUCAAUAUUUCGGGCUUUGGGUCGAACUCAGGCCGGGCUUGGAUAUGCCUAAAUAGGCCCAAAAUUUUUUCGAGUCUUAAUUUUUACGCCCGGCCUGAACCCAAAGUAAUAUUUUCAAAACCCAAAGCCCAGCCCAAACAUGUCCCAACAGGCCAGGCCUUGUUUAGGCCCUGGCCCAGUUCCACCCCUAAUCAAAUUUAAAUUUUAAUAUAAAAUAGAUGGAUAGAUUUGUUAUCAAAAAUUAGAAAUUAAAUUUAAUUCACGAUUUAAACUCAAAUUUAAAUUUUAAUAUAAAAUAGAUAAAUAGAAGUGCUAUUUUUUAACAAAUUGAUCAUAACCGUUCAUUUUUAUUUUAAAUAUUUUUAACCAAUGAUCAUAACCGUUCGUAGAAUUGAAUUUAUGGAUGAAUAUAAAUAUUUUUUUUAAUAAAUUGAUCAUAACCGCCCAUUCUUAUUUGAGAUAUUUUUUUACAAAUUGAUCAUAAAUUUGUACAUCAUAUUAAUUCAAAAAUAUAACUUACAAAUUAUCAGAAGUGCUAUUUUUUAACAAAUUGAUCAUAACCGUUCAUUUUUAUUUUAAAUAUUUUUAACCAAUGAUCAUAACCGUUCGUAGAAUUAAAUUUAUGGAUGAAUAUAAAUAUUUUUUUUAAUAAAUUGAUCAUAACCGCCCAUUCUUAUUUGAGAUAUUUUUUUACAAAUUUAUCAUAAAUUUGUACAUCAUAUUAAUUCAAAAAUAUAACUUACAAAUUAUCAACCAAUGUAUCUUUUAAAUUAUUUUCGUUGUAAUAUGUUGACUGUUCCAAAUUUAAAAUUUUAAAUUAAUUUUAAAUUUUGAAUUGAAAUAUAGAUUUACAGUAGAUAUUCUGGCAAAAUUUUGAAUAAGUAUGAAUUUUUUUCUAUUUCAGAGAUUUAAAGAAACUAAACAAAUUUCGAAUUAAAAUAAUGAUUCAUAGUAGAUAUCUUCGGUUGGCAAAAAUUUGGACAAGUAUAUUUUUUUUUCUAUUUUAGAGAUAAAGAAAAAUUAAAAGUUUGUUUAUUACGUUAUUUAUUUUACGUAAGGAAAGAGGAAUCAUUUUUCUUUUCCUGCCAAAACAUGGGUCUGUCGACAGACCGAAAUUUGAAAUACGUGCUUUUUUUAUAUAUAAUAUAAUAUAGAUAGAUAUAUAGGAGAGAGAGCGAAAGAGAAUUUCGAUUUGAAAUUCGAAUUUAAAAUUUAAAUUUUAAAUUCCUUAAAUUACAAAUAUCUCAGAUAUUACAUGAAGUACUGGUGCCUUUGAGAAAAUAGUACUACAGUAUAGAAAGUAAACAAAUCUGUAAUUUAUUGUAUAAUAUAAUCUAAUUAUACCGACCGUUCCUAGAGCAAGUGGCAAAGGGCUUGGUGGUUGGUACCCGAGACCCAAGUUCGAAUCCUAAUUGAUUUACAUUUACAGCUAAGUUUAUUUCGAAGCGGGUAGCGUGCUACCUAUCUCUCAAAAAAAAAAAAAAAAAUCUAAUUAUACCUAGAAGUUAUAUUGAAUGCAAAAAAUUUUUGGGCCGGAGCUAGGCCAUCAUAAUCUAUAAUAAUAUUAUCUAAUUCUAAAUGGGUUUCAGAAAUCCGUAUUGUUAUAAUGCCAGUGGAUGUCAUUACAUUAUAUAUUAUUUACGUCAGUUAAUUAUGAGCAAUGUGACUUGUUAAAUAACCUUUUGAUAUAUCUCUCGGAAUAUUAUCAUCAACAGGCAGAAUAAUUUUUCCAUAUCAGUUUUAUUAUUCUCUAUUUUUUUUCAAGUACGAAAAAAUCAAAAGAGAAAAUUAAACUCUGAAAUAGAAUGUUGUGAGAUAUACAUUGCUUAAUUCAUACAAACGACAUUUCUCUUAUUUAUUAUACAGCUAUCACAAGUUUGCGCACACGCACGCACAUAAUUAAGUGAGACAUCAAAUAAAUAGACUAUGUAAUUAAGUAAAGCCAGUGCAUAGAGUUUAACAAUUGAUUAUUUCUUAUUUUUCAUUUUUCACGCACAACUAAAGUAAUGGAAAGGGAAAAAAAAAAAAAAAAAAAAAAAGCAUCAAAUGGUGACACUCGUAGACAUGCAUUUUAGGCACACAAGAAGUUUUUGAUUGGGCGACUACCAUUGCAAGAUUCCAUUUUUUUUCUUUCUUUCGCCUGCACUUCACGACUCAUCACUAGUUCUUCAAAAUUCGUGCACAUCUAUGUAAACCUGUUGCAUGUAGCAAAGUAUUUGGUCAGGUUAAUAUCACAGGAGAGAGAGAGAGAGAGAGAGAGAGAGAGAGAGAGUAACUAAACAUACGUGUGCAAGAAGGAUGGACUAGUCCAUGGAAUAGCAACAAAGCUUGAAGGAAUCCAAGUUAUGAUGGAACAAGGGCACAAACGCAUCAAUGCUCCCGUCUCCAAUGAAGGAUGGCAAGAGUAUAAGCAGCCCCUCCACAGGAAGAUAAGAGGGUACGAAGUAGUACGGGCUACCCCCGCCAAAAUCCAGGUCGUAGAAGGGAAACCUUGUCCAGGAAUCCACCUCUAGGUUAGGGCACAGCACCAUCUCAUCCGCAUCAGCAGUCGGCAUCAGACCCUCCUCCUCGGCCGCUCCAGAGCUCGAAAAGUCUAUAAACGACUUGAAAUAGCUAUCCUCCACCUUGGCGACUUCUGUGCGGAUGAGAUCCGCAGCAUACUGGAGCGGCCUCUUCAUCAGCUCCCGCACGUUGGCGCGAGGGAAGGCCCAAAGGACUAGGUUGCCUGAGUACCCAUCAGGCACAGCUGGGAUCAUCCUCCUGCGUCCGUCCACGGCAAUUCGUACGUGGGUGGUCUCGCAACCGUUGAGGCCUCGCGCCUUCGUCACGACCCUCCAUAAAUGAGCCACCAUGCACUGGAACGUAGUAUAUGGCUGGUCUCUCCCCGCGGAUGCCAUGGCCUUGAGCUUGGAGAGGAACUCCUUAGUAAAGUGUGCCUUGUGAAUGACCACCUCAUUCUUUAGUGGGUUCUCCGUGUUGCUGUCUCUACUCUUCUUGCUCUUGAACUCCACGCCACGAUGCUCAAACUCGAGCUGCGGCGGCUGACGGGGGACAAAGAGCGAGGUGCGGUCGUGCAGCGGGAGGGGAUUGAUGGAAAGUCCGCGUGAUGCGCGGCCCCACGAGACCAAGAAGUUGCUGGUGGCAUGGCCAUCAGAGAUAACGUGGUGUAGCGAGAAACCUAGAACCAGAGAUCCGCAAGCGAACCUCGUGAGUUGGACCAACAGCAGCUCCUCCACACCGUCGGCACUCGGAUGAAAGUCCAGCAGAGAAGGAGAGGGCUUGAAGGGCAUAGCAUUGCUGAGGGUGGUGUCGACAGAGGCCUCGACGAACCGCACUCCUUCAUCGCUGAGGAGUAUUACUCGGUUGCCUUCGGAGUCCUCCCCGAACCUACCCGCGUACUCUCCAUAUUCUGCUAGCACCUUUGCAAGCCCCUCCUCGAUCACGGAGUUGGGAGGAGUCGGCGGGCGAAAUGCGUAGAUGACGGCGACGUGUGUGUCGAAGGUCACCUUGUCGAACACACUCAGUGGAAUGUGUUGAGUGGUCGUAAGUGGAGGACGAAUAUGAUCAGCAUUGUGUGCAGGCUUGAUGAUUCUCGAGCUCUCCACUACCACGUGCAUGGAGAAUUGGUUGAGCUUAACUAGAGAUAGGACGGAAAUAUAAAGCUAAGUGAGAUAGAUAUAGUGCUCUAUCCCAUAAGCUGUGCACACAUGGGCAUAAAUAAGAUAGUGGUGUCCGGUAGUUGCCAAUGAGAAGCGGCUUCUAGGAGGAGAAUGACGCUGCCUAAUCAACUCAUAGCACCGUAAGGUGAUUUUCAGAUCUAUGAGGGUGAAAUCCGUACAUGCAAUUAAAGAUAACGUUAAUUGAUGAGAUUUAGUUAGAAUUAACUUAGUUAUUUUACCUCAAAUUGCUUUUUAAUUCAGAUAUUAGUUAUUUUUAGUAUAAUAUACACACUCGUGAUGGGUACUAGGAUUAAUUAAGUUUGACUGUUUUUAAUGAACUUGGCCGAGUAUAGCUGCUGCAUGCAUGAGAGCACGAGAUUCUCCAACACUUAAUAAAAAAGUCGAAAAGGUUUAGGGUUUAAAAUUUAAAAUUUAGAUUUAAUUUUUUUUUUUUUUUGAGAUAUAGGUAGCAUGCUACCCGCUUUAUUUAUUUCAUUUCGAAAUAAACUUAUCUAGAAAUGUGAAUCAACAAGGCUUCGAACUUGGGACCUCGGGUAUCAACCACUAAGCCUUUUGCCACUUACUCUAGAGACGGACGGUAUUUUAGAUUUUAAAUUGAAAAUUAAAUUUAAUAGUUUGUUCAUAUUUUAUAUUUAAAUUUAAAAAUUAAAAUAUAAAUUUAAUUUUCAAAUAAAACUCAGUGAAAAGUUAUUAUUUUUACCAAAUAUUUUUACAAAAUUAUACAAAAAAAUUACUUUUAUAUCAGAUUGAGCCAAACAUUCUAAAAAUUUUAUUCAAAAUUAUUUUCUUCAAACUAAAAUUAAUUCGGCAAAAAUUACUUUUUCAGUAGUUUGACCAAUUAAUUAGCAGGCUCCAUAUAUAUAUAUAUAUAUAUAUAUAUAUAUAUAUAUAUAUAUAUAUAUAUAUAAGAAUANNNNNNNNNNNNNAUAUAUAUAUAUAUCUUUCUCCAGUAAAAUAGUUUUUGCUUCUGCCAAACAUCUCAGUGUAAUUAGUUUAAUUUUCUUCCUCUCUCUUGGGAAAUCUAUAUACAUCAUAGCGAGUUGAAAGAACAAAUAGAGGUGCGCUGCCGUAACAAAUGGCAUCAGCUAGCAGGCCCCUUUUUUGAAAGAAUAAUGCGUCAAUGGCAUUUAAUGGUGCUAGCUAGCGGAGUCUUGAAUGGUUUUCUGUUCUUGGAUGAUGGUCAUAUAUACCCUACCCGUCUCAUGCUUAAUUGCUAAAAAUUAAAAAGGUUUAGUACAUAACAUAAUUGAUUGUAGAGCUUGAUUUUCUAUUUCCAAAUGAAAACCAUUGCAUUUUUAUAUAUGUGCCUAGGUAAACCAAUAAAGUGCAUUUUAAUUAUCAAUUUUAUCUCAUUACUUACUUCUGAUAAUAUAAAGAAAGAAAGAAAUUAUGUUUUUCAUUUAUGCGUUAAAUCAAGAAUAGCCUUCUCAUUGCUCAUCAUCAAUGUAAAGCAAGACAAUUUAAUGUAAUUUUCUUAGACGUUCACCUGCGUAGUGCAUGCUACGGCAAGUGCAAUAUCUCCUCCUAAUUAAUUAAGUUUGUUCUUUGCUUGAAAUAAGAAUCGAUCCAUUAUUUAAACGUGCAGAAGUUAAUUUUAUUUUGGAUAACUUCAACUUGCUCUCUCGGAAUAUCGCAUUUUUUUAUUUUGCCAUCUUGUAGUUUAAAAAGUUAGACUUGAUUACCCUAUGGUUUUGCAUGUCUUCAAUUUGUCAUUCCGUGAUUCAAAAUGUGUUAUACUUAACUACCAUGUUGUUUUUUAAUUAUAAUUAUUUAUUAUUAAUCAGGGUACUCUGUGUGAUUUUAAAAAAAUUAAAUGUUGCUUUACUAUCCUAGUUGAUGGCAUACUCUUUUGGAGGAAUAAAAAUAAAAUUAUAAGAUAAUUAAGAAAAAGUUUUUAAAACACGGAGUGACAAAAUGAAAAUAUACUAUAACACAGGAAAGUAAAUUAAAGUUUAUCCCCUUAUUUUUGAACAAUACUAGCCAUACACUCCAUACUAUAGCAUACAACCUACGUUCUAAGAAAUUUCUAAUUUGAUCGAGGGGAAAAUGUAUUUUACUUCGGGGAACGAUAACACCCGAUGGAAGAAUGCGGGCGUCUGUUCGAGCACUUUGGGGAACGAUAACCUCUCUUGAUUAAAAUUUUUGAAUUAUGAGAGUGUAAAAUAUACACCUCUAGAUGGGAGUGCAAAUGCUUUACUGUCUAAAUGGUGGUGACAUUUAUUCACAUAAUGGGACUUUCAAUGCAACAACCUUAUUAGAACUUUAUACAUAACAUGUGAAAGCCUUUGGGAGAAGGAAGGAUGUUUAGACCUCCUUCCCAAUAGUGAAAAAGUGUGCUAACCACUAAGAAAAUAUUUAAAAGUAGUAUGUGCUUUACUCUGGAAGAUGGGGAUUCAUCAAUUUAUGGUAUAAUAGGUGAUGUGGUGACGCUCCAUUGAAAACACUCUUUCCCGAUAUUUAUGUCAUAGUAGCACGGAAGUAAGUUUUAAUCAAAGAGUGGUACUCCUCUCUAAGUUAGAAAAGGAGAAAUAUUCUGAGAGGAGUCGGGGUCGGAAUGCCUAGGGGCGAUAGCAAAACUAUAGAGUUCAAGGUGUUACUUUUUGUUAGGAUUCGUCCACAUUGGGACUUAUCUAAAAUAUUUCUAAUUCAUAUGGGAUAAGAAAUAAAUAUUUAUAAUUAUCUGAAAUAUUUCUAGUCCACAUGGGAUAAAGAAUAAAUCUAAUAAAUAUAUCCUAAUCUGUUUAAAUUUCUAUCCAUGUGAGAUACAGUUAGAAUAGGAUUAGGAUUAACAUCUUUCUUAUGGCCUAUAAAUAUAUGAGGUAUUGGCCACAUACAUGACACAAGAAAAAUUAGUAAAAUCUCUCCACGAAAUUCUAUCUCUUGGGUUUGCUCUAGGGCACCAUCAAAAACUCUAGGAAUUUGGGCGGUGUGCGGCGAUCGACUCUAGUAGCCGGAUUGCAACGAGAAAGAAUAAUGUCACGCCCCGCGACCACCAAUUUGGUCGAUUCGGGUACGUCUAUAGACGCCGAACGGACAGAACCUUCCCUGUCCGACCAAGGCUCUACCCACACAUGUAUAACAAUAGCAAUUCAAGCAAAGAGAAUGCAAGUAUACACGGUUUGUGUGAGGGCAAGCAACAACUACCAAACAAGUGAAAGCUCUAAAGCUACUUCAUACAACCAUACAACCAUACAUGUCAUUUGAUUACAUUUAAACCAAAUACAAGUUAACCACUUAUUUUACAUUCAUUUUUUUUAUUUUCAUACAUAUACAUUAUUUAACACAUCCAACCAAAACAUAUGGAUUACAUCAUUUAUACAUUAAUGUUCAACAUAACAAAAGUUGAACCUAUACAUGGUACGACUAAACUCCAGUGGCCGCUAUCUACGGCGCAAUACCCUUGCCUCGAUCCUCGACCGCCCCGCUCGCGCUAGGAUCUGCAGGGUUAGUGGUGUGAGAACUAAAAGAAGUUCCCAAUGGAUUCGGCCGCCGCCUCUGCCGACUAACUCACUAGGUCUAUUCAGAUAUAUGUAAGAAAAGGAUAGAUAGAUCGCAAACCAAACUAAUACUAUUACAAUGCCUACAAGAAAACUGGGUCAACAAAUAUAUAAUCACAAGUAUAAUGAUAAUGCAUGCUUUUCCAUUUACCUUGGCUUUCACCCAAUUAACCCGGUUAACUCAUGGUUAACCCCAAAAGCUUACAACCAAAAUCCCUGUCGAUCGGGGAGAAUACCGCUGCAACCCGAGGGACCGUCUUCUGGGGAGAAUUCCGCUACACCCAGUGGUGACAACUCCGAAGCACACUGCUUGAAGGGGAGCUACCGCCCUCAAGCCAAGACCUAAUGUGAGUAUGAUUCAAUCCUCAAUUUGAGGAUGUAUAGCCAAACUUGCUAUUCUUACCACAAUGCCACAAUGCCACAAUGCUCUUAAGGUUUUACCCUACCUAGCAUAUCUUGUUCUCGGUGCCAAUCAUGCCUGCUAAUGUCAAUGUCACAUUUGUUUACUAUUGUCAUAGUCCAUGUCGAUAUCACACAUUCAUAGGGUUCCAAUACACAUGGUCCAAUAUAUCAAUUCAUAUGUUCUCCUACCUAAUUCAUAUAUUCUCUACCUAGAAGCAUACAAUUGAUUCUCAAUCACCAUUACAUGUCACAUAACCCUAAGAUGCAUGAUUUUUACUAUGCACAUAUAUGCUCAAAGAGGUGACAAAGACAUAAUGAGAAAUUCAGUGAUGGAGAGCACCACCCACCUUGUAGGGAUGCCAAGAAGCUACGAUCCAACUUUCAGAAUUUAUAGCUGCCAAUUUCUCCCAACUACGGCAAAACGAAGCCAAAUGGGGAUUUUCCCCAAUACUGUCGCGUAGACUUGUCGGAACUUCGAACCGAGUCUUCUAACGCGUCAGACUACCCGCCGAUUAGGGUUACAAGAGAUCAAAUCUAGCUUAGAUCUCCAUAUUCACAAAACCCUAAAACAACCCUAGGUUUUACCAUCUUCUCCAAAUAAAGUCCUCAAAUCAUGGAGAAACAUGAUCAAAUCCACCACUACAUCCUCUAGAAACACAAACCAGAAGGAACUACCACUAAACCCUAGCUUAGAGUCAUGAAAACCCACCUUAGGUUCCAAGCUUUUCUCCAAGCCCUCUUGCACAAGCUAGCUUCCACCCAGGCAAGCUUCUUCUCCACCCAAAACCCUCUCUUGGAGCAACCCUAGUGAGAGAGAAGAAGAGAGAGAGAAAAGUUCCUAGAGAGAGAAAGGGAUUUCUCUUAGGUGUUGAGUGUGAGGAAAUAAGGCCAAAACCCUAAACCUCCCAUAUAUACACACUCACACACAUACAAUUACACAUAACCCCCUCUCCAAACAGGACUCAGCCAUCCUUGGCCAUUUUCGCUCUCGGGGUCCGGACCCCGAGAGCAACAUUUGCAAUUUUCGAGCUGAAAAUUUUCCAGUUUGCUCUCCCAUGUCCAUAGACCCUACACAAGUCACCCCAAAGCAUUCGGAAUGAACAAUGGACCGUUCUAACUCGUCCGACGGCGCUUCGGUCAAUUUGACGGAAGUUCGGUACAACUCGUCGGGGAUACGAUAUGUUACAAAUAACGUGCGUGACAGAUUCCGAGCGGAUAGAAGAGUUCGUAAAACAAGACAAUAUCAGAUCCUGAUAAUCAUAAUAUAUUCCGCUGCGAAAGAGGUAUGUAAAAAUCUAUAUGAUUUUAGCAUUUUCUUUUGGCCAUUAUUUUCUACCAACACUUUCAAAUUUCUACAUCAUAGACAAGACUGACAAAAUCUGUUGGAGAUAGAAUUCGAGGCUGUGUUUCACCAUUAAAUCAGUGUACAUGUUGAUCAGUGAUGAGAGUGUUCGAAAUGUUCUUCUGUUGAAAGUAUGAGAUCUGAAAAUAUUGUCUAAAGUUAAGUUUUUUAUUUGGUUAGCCCUUUAAGAAACUCCUACUCAUGGUUGAUAAUCUUCUCAAAAGAAAUUGCUCUGGGAACCAACAAUGGGUUAUGUGUGGCACUGAAGUCAAAACUAUCGAUCAUCUGCUUGUUGGAUGCGUACUUAACAGAUUUUUGAUAUUAACAUUGUAGAAGGUAGACAAAUUCUAUGCUUUGUUGUGGAGGUUAGGGGUGUCAGGGAGCUUCUGUUGGGGACAGCACCCAAGGAACUACAGCAAAGGUGCUAGCUUCGGUUGUAGCUUGUUGGUGGACAAUUUAGUGGGAAUGAAACAAUAUGAUAUUUAAGAACCAAUCUUCAAACCCCUUAGCGGCUGUUAGAUGACUUCGGGAUGUGGAGAGAGAUUGGGUUGAAGUUUGCAGUACUAACUGAUAUAUUUCAAAUUAGUGGUGUAAUCUCUAUAUUAUUUAUUUCUAUUUUUUCAUUUGUCGCCUUUCACUUUCUCGAGGCUCUAUUGUCUGAAUUUUCGUAGCUAAAUUUUAUUUUUUAAAUGAAUAAAGCGGGUAGCAUGCUAUCUUUAUCUUAAAAAGAUAAAGGCUAGUUGCUUUAAUAGUAUCCCUUAAUAACUUUGUCCCUUUUUAAGCUUUUGUCUUUUAACCCUGUUUCUUUAUUUUCUACUAUUAGAUUUCUAGGUUUUAUAUUUUUUUUUGGUUUCAAUAAUUAAAAUUUUUGUUAUUUUUGAUGGAAUAAGCCACCUCAUCUUCAAUGUAGAUUACCAAGUGAAAUUUGAAAUCAACUAUUCAAAAUUUUUUACGGAGCUUGGUGGUACACCCAGCUCGAUGCUAAGAAUGUCAGAUGUUUAAAGACACUACAACAAAAACGGUCUAUAGCGACACUUUUAAAUGUAGGUACAUGUCAAAGAAGUGCUGCUAGCUAAAAUUACCGACACUUUUAAAAAGUGUUGCUAUAUGUGGGGUCGCUAGGUAUAUAGUGACAAUUAAAUAGUGUCGCUAUAACCUAAAAAAGUGCUGCUAAUUUACCAACACUUAUUUAAGCAUUUAGCAAUCGCCGAAACUCUAUCUCGUUGGCUGCGGUGGCGGAGGAGGACGACAGGAAAGGCUCUUCGUCUAUAAUUUCAGUGGAUUGAGUGAAGAGAGAAGAAAAGAUGGUAAUUGAUUUUUCUUUUUUUUUUCAAAAGUGUCCCAAACAUGUGUCCCUAUAACCUAAUUCUGUUGUAGUGAGAGAAGCAGUGGGCAUUGCGUGACAGGUCAAGUUGUUUGUAGGACCGAAGAAAAAUGACCAGAUUAGACUUAACACGAUAAGUUUAUAUAUAUAUGACAGAAAAAUUAACCAAAAUACAAAAAAAGAAUACAUAUGGGUUAGAGACCAAUAGUGCAAAUUAAUUUUAAAGGAUAAAGAUCUGAUUGCAUAAAAUAAGAGAUUGUUAAUAAACUAAAAAUUGAGGAUCAAUGCAAUUAAUUCAAAAAAACAAGUAUAUGCAUAAACAGUACCGGAGCUUCCAUGAAUUAAUAUACAUAUUGGUUUCUCACACCUAAAUUAUCUAUUAAUUAAUUAUCAUGAAUUGAGAGUUGGAGGCCACGUGGCGGGCGGAGCGGGAGAAAGAGGGGGAAUGGGACGGGUGCGGUUUGGGAGGAAUUCUACACUGUCACACUUGCACCACAUCAUCAAUAACAAGUCAGUCAUAUUCCUUCUUUUUAAACAAAAGUACAAUAAAAAUAUUUUUUUACAAUCUUGAUGGGAUAUAUAUUCCUAAAAGGAUACAUUUGAUUGGUUUGUUGCGCCACGGCACUGAUAUACCUGUUGCAUUCUAGAAUUUUUCGGGGUUUGGGGUGUGGGGCCCACUAGAAGUAGACCUUUUUUUUAAUUUUUUAUUUUAAUUUUUUUCUUUUAUUUAGACUAUAAAGUUUGACUUAUUUUUUUAAUCUAAUUUAUAAAAUUAAAACAUAUAGAUUGUAUACUGAAAAAUAAAAGGAAAAAAUGAUGAACUUUAAUUUAAUUAUUUAUUUUAAUAAAUUUAGUUAUGAAAAUUACAUAAAGCAUAGUAACUAAAUCUGUAAAGCUAAAAGAAGCAUUCAAAUUUUAAAGUAAAAGUAUCAUUUAUUGACUCAAAUCUAAUAUUAAAAUUUAUUAGAAAACUUAACAUAUUCUUUUUUGUGAAUAAAAUUACUGAUUGAACAAAACCAAUCGAUGCUCAAUCUCUAUCUUUAUUUGUAAUAAAAUUAAAAUAUAAAAAGAACAAAUUAUACUUUUGAUCCUAAAACUAUAAGACGUGUGACACUUUAGUCCUCAAAUUUAAUGAGUUAUAUUUUUUUCUCAAAUUAUAAAGUAUGUGACGCUUUCGAUCUCAUAUUUUAAUUAGUUGUAAUUUUUAGCUCGAACUACGAGGCAUAUUUUCAAAUAUUUUUAUUUUAAUGCUUUCACUAUAGCAACUGUUGUUUUUUCUUUAGUUGCUUUUAUUUGUAUUUUUUUUAUUCUUUCACUUUUUUAUUCUUAUUUUUUAAUUUAUUUAUUUCUAUAAAAUCAAGGCGCCUAAAACGUGGUCAUUAAUGUUAUCAUAUUUAUUUACCUAUAUACCUAUUCUAGGGGGAGACUAAUAAUUAUGGGGACGAGUAACAAACUUCCUCAAAUAUUUAAAAAUUUAUGGAUAUUUUAUCUCAUUUGGUUGUUGGAAUGACUCUCCUUUUUAUUCAUUACUAUACAAAUUGUUAUGAUAUUUAGUUAUUAAAAUAAAAUAAUUUUUUAUUCAUAUUUCACAAUGGUGUUACAAUUUUUACUUUCCUACAUUUUUAAUUAUGGCAAAAUAUUUCUCUAACUUUUCAAUUUGCUAUUUAAUUUUACGUAACCAUUAUUCAUUCACUUUUAUAAACUCCUAACCACUAACUUUUAUAACCUAUCACCACUUAAUUCCAGUAACUUUUAGGCUUGUGGUGCCCUACAAAUUAAGAGCUUUUCUACUCUUUUGAAUACACAACUAAAUCUUAUAAUUCUAAUUUUACUGUCUCUAUUCUAUUUGAAGGGAAGGGGUGAAAAAAAGUUUUUCUUCUUAGUGAAGUUUUGGGCUCAUAUGUUUAUGAAGAGUUGAUAAAGUCACAUAACAAGAAUAGAGCUAUUGUAUAUAUCCUGAAGGGAACAAGUUCUAGUAUUUUGCUGUAUCGAUUUGAAUUAUUUUUACUUCUAAAAAAUGGUUUAAAAGCCGAAUGUAAUAUGACUUACUAAAUAUUUGGUUAUACUUUUUAAUAUAAUAAAUACUAUAUCGCCUGUUUGUAUAUAUAAAUAUUUUAUCUAAUUAACAUAUUAAUUUUUUAAUUAAUGAAGCUUAUAGUUUUUGGUAGAUAAAAAGUGUGAUCAAUUUCAUAUCAAAGACAGCCUUUAAGUGAUUUUCUUGUAAUAGUCUCAUAGGUAAACCCUAAUAAGUUAAUCUAUAACAAAUGUUCAUACAUUCAAAUUAAGUAAGCCAUAAGUAAAUCUAUAGCGCAGGGUAUUGUGUUUUAGAUUGAGUCAACAACAAAUUUGUUCGGCCAUAACAUAACUAAUUAAUGCUUUGUAAAUAUGCAAGCUGUAUGCAAGCUAGCUGGAAAGCGGCUCUCGGUACAUGCCAAGGGACGUCGAUCCCGACUUGAAAAUCUCUGACAACCAGCGCAUAUAUAUAGCUGUUUCCUUCCCACGUGUCUUCUUAUUUAUUCUCUGUUUCUCUUAAUUAGAUAGGGUGGUUGGAUCAAGAUAAGGAGCACAGUACUUGGGCCCAUUUUGAAAAUCUUGAUACGGAAUCUUAUGAUAACAGGUACAACAUAAAAAAAUAUUAUUAUAUAAUUGAAUGCUAAUUAAAGAGUUAAAUUUUCACGCUAUGUAAUAGUUUGACAUUCAUUGUUGAUUUGGUGUGUAGGAUGGGAUAUUUCAUCUAAGAUGUAAUAAAAAAUACUACCUGUAGGUUGUACACCUACUUAUAUGUGUAAAUCUUAUAAUCUCUCUAUCUUAGGAUCUACAAAAAUCUAAAUUAAGUUUUAGUAAAAAUAAAAUAUAAUAAAAUAAAGUUGAUAAGACAAAUAGAGAGUGAGAGAGCCCUAGGAUGAAUGGUGUGUAAAGUAUACACUUACUUUUGAGGUGUAACCUAAUAUUACUCAAAUAUAAUUUCCUACUAUGAAAAAUUGACUUAAGACAUCGAAUAUGAUACAUAUCCAUUUUAGAUUAUUGAUCACACUUUUUAUCUAUUAAAUAUUACAUAGUUUUGAAUAAAUUAAAAAAAUAUAUACCAAACAAGAUGUUUGUAUAUUAAUUCGAAUAGAGUCAACAAAUAUAUGCACAUGUGUAAUGUCUGAGAUACAACUCACAUAUUUUUUUCCUCAUCUUUUGCGGGCUAGGAACUACAAUGUAAAAAUGUAGGAUAAUCCACUUUUUAAUUCUUGAGAAUAAGACCGUAACAGCAAAUGAACAUAAUAGUAGAAAUAGAGUAAGUACCAAAAAAACCCAUACUUAGGACAAACAUAUGAGAGCAAUCCAUAUAUAUAUAUAAUCCGGUGAACCACAAACUUUCGAAAAGAUGACAAAUUAAGUCUAAUAGUUGGUGUAAGAUAAUGGAUAUAAAAAUUGUAGCAUAGAACCCGCAAAAAAAAGGGAAAAAAAAAGGAGCACGGCAAACCAUCGUGUCAUGCACUGGGGUUCCUUUUUGAAAGUCAAUUUGAAAUUGGGCUAUCACUACAACAGAAUUAGGUUAUAGGGACACAUGUUUGGGACACUUUUGAGUAAGUGUCCCAUUUAUAUUAAAACUUAAAAAAAUAUCUACUAAUGCCUAAAUAUAAAGCCCGAUCCAACUAAAAAUAAAAGAUUACUCUACUCAAUACACCACACCAAGUCCAUUUGGCCCGAUUACAAACAGAAAAGAAAAAAAAAAAGAAAAAUCAAUUACCAUCUUUUCUUCUCUCUUCACUCAAUCCACUGAAAUUCUAGACGAAGAGCCUUUCCUGUCGUCCUCCUCCGCCACUGCAGCCAACGAGAUAGAGUUUCGACGGUUGCUAAAUGCUUAAAUAAGUGUUGGUAAAUCAGCAGCACCCUUUUAGGUUAUAGCGACACUCUUUAAUUGUCACUAUAUACCUAGCGACCCCACAUAUAACAAUAUUUUUUAAAAGUGUCGGUAAUUUUAGCUAGCAGCACUUUUUUGACAUGUACUUACAUUUAAAAGUGUCGCUAUAGACCGUUUUUGUUGUAGUGUAUCUUUAUAAAUCAAAGUAAGCAAAAAACUGCCUAUCUUUUUUUUUCCCCAAAAUUUUGAACCCCAAGGGUGCAAUAGACCCGCCACAAAUACAGUAAAUUUUCGGAACAAACGGACAACGUCUUCCCUAUAUUUGCACGGCGAAUCACAUGUACAAUUAGCAAUCAGACCUCCACUCACACACACACACACACACACACACACACACACACACACACACACACACACAGCAGUACAGGAUGUACAAGAAAUAAUAUUCAUCAACAUACAGCUAACGAUUCUUCGUCACAUCCAUUCACAUUUAUUCUCACUCGUCCUAUUGGUUGGAAUGUCUCCCAUACGAAGACUUUGUUUGAAAUUCUAACUUCAACGAAAAAUUGCGAAAAACCAUUUUGAAAACUAUCCCCCACCCGGAGAUCUUUAUUUUGAAAAACGCUAUCACAAGGGGUAGAAAAUGCCGAAAAAAUUAUUUGAAAGCCAUUUCCCACACGGAAAUCUUUAUUUUGAAAACACUACCACGAGGGGUAGAAAGCCACGUUUGAAAACUGAAACCGAAGCCACAAGACUUCCAAAACUACAAGUAUCCAAAAACCUCAUAGGUAGAUCAUCCAAAAAUUUGCAAGUAUAGAAUGUCAACUAAACCACAAAUAAAUGUCUAUUAUCAAGUGUAGGGGUAAACUAUGCUAUCAUAUGUAUGUCAAUGCUAAGUAUGGAGUAUAGUCAAAAUGUAUACUGUAGAUCGAGACCUCUAAAACCGCCCACUAGCUAAGGCCUCACGCUCCGUCCUGACGAAUCCCACCCGUGUCACCUGUGGGGAAAUAGGAUUGAGAAACCAACGAGGGUCUUCCAGUGGGUACCACAAGCCAACGAAGGCAAGCGUACUUACCGGUAACUAGGUAAGUAAAGAAAGUCCUAUAGCAGCAAUGUAAGUAUAAAGAGAGAUGAACUGUAAGUAAGCAUGCAACAACCGCUACUGUAGCUAUAUGCAUCAACCGGACGAAAAGUCCAAAUGUACUGAAUUUAUACCGCCGUGUCAGUCUAAGGACCUCAGGGAAGCCACAACCGCUUUGUCUAGCACAUAACCCUAACAAUGGCUGCUGGGCUUACAGGUUGGCAACCAACUACUUUUCUGAAAAAGAACACCCUCCUACAUGGGAUCAGACCACUUAUGUUCAUGAAAUGCUCUCGAGCUUUGGCGAUCAAUGUGGAUAUGAUCAAUAGUCAACUGACGGCGAAUAGCCGACAAUCACUGCCCCUCGGGACACACCAACUAACAGGUCAUCGAAACUAUACGGAAACAUAAGUACCUAUCACUCAGGUCAGCUAGGAUGGACAAGCUCAACAUCCUCUCAAGUAUGCAAGUACCGACCACUCAGGUCAACUAGAAAGUGUGAGAUCAAUGACAUUAUAAGUACACGAGCACCGACCACUCAAGUCAACUGGAAUAUAAAUGCAAGUGUCACUACAGCUCUACUUCUAUGUCAUGGCAAACGGGAGAGUACACUAAGUAGAGCAAGGGUCGAAGUCAUGUGGUGAAGAUCUCAAGUACUGGAUAUGUAUAUAUAUAUAAGUAGUAAAAGGUAAGGAUGAAGGGAACAUCACCUAGUCUGCUCCACUGAACUGACUUCGGAUCGAAAUACCCACCAGUGUCGCAGUUGCACCUAGCUCCUGCAGUGUGCAAAACCAUCAACCGGACCUACGACAGGUCUACCAAGUCAGAAACCAAACCUAUUGACUCAAAAGACAUCGCUCACAAACUCAAAAUAACCUACGGGAUCGAUUUCCCAAAACUGAUUCUCGAACUCGUUGGGAAUCUGGAAAAUGCACCGGGAUGCUCGCUGUAACACACUGAACUUUUGCAAAUUGCAAGGUUCGAGUGUUUGAUCUGUGUUUCGAGUUUUUUCAGGUAUUCUAGAGGGUCGUUGACAGUGUUCUGACCUAUGGCUCGUAUUUCGAAAAUCGAGGUUUAAAACUUAGCACUAAAAUUUCUAAAGUGAAGAUUUUAGGCUCCUCUCAGAUUGGACUCUGCAGAGCAGAGCACCAGUACAGCAUCGGGCCUGUAUCAGAACCAGACCUAGUACCGGCACAGCAUCGGACUUGUACCGGUACCCAGUGUAUUUUUCUGCGAACCCGAGGCUCGGGUUUGCACGUGCUGCUGCCUGGUACCGGUACUCUUGCCCGCAUACCGGUACGCAGUGCUGCGUGCAGCCUGCAUGUUUUUGGGGAUUCUCUUUGUAAUUGUUGCAGCAUUAUAAAUAGCACCCCACCCUUUUGAGGGGUUCUUUUGUGCUGCAACUAGAGGAGGGUGUCACGCCCCGGGACCGAUCCCUUUGGCCGGUUCGGGCAUGUCGAACAGACGCCGAACGGACAGCACCUCCCUUGUCCACCCAAGGCUCAACACAUGUACAAUUCAAGUAGAAAGAAUGCACAAACGGAAACAUAUAUAAUGGCUUGCACGAGGGAAAGCAAUAGUCAAAAGUGAAAGAUUCUAAACUACACAAUUAUACAAGUAAUAUGAUUACUUUUAACCACAUACAUGCAUGCACCUUUCAUUCAUAUUCUUUUCAUCAUUUAUUUCAUAUAUCUCAUUUUCCUCAAAAUAGAACUUUUUACAUUCCUGCAUCAUCUAUACAGUUACAUCUUCAAAGACAAAAGAAGAUAUAUACAUCCAAAAUAGGUAUGCAACUAGAAAAAUAACAUAAUCAACUUGGGUGGUCACUGUCUACGGCGCGAUACCUUUACCGCGGUCGUCCACCGGCUCACUCGGUCCCGGCUCUGUGAAAAUAGUGGGGUGAGAACUACAACAAAGUUUCCAGUGGGUUGGCCCCAACCCCGCCGACUUUCCCACUAGGUCUAACUCAAGCAUAAUAGAAGAAAUAAGCAGAUAGAUAGGUAACCGACUAUAUAAAUGCAACUAAUAUGCGUGAACAAUGCUAUCAAUAAGGAUACUCAACAAGAAUGCUCAUGAUGAAUGCAAGGUCACUUUCCAAUCCCCAAUCUCUAGGCUAACCCGUGGGUUUCGCCCAAGCAACUCACCAACUCAUAAUCCCAAGUAUCAGGGAGAAACUCCUACAACCCGAUGGGACCGUCCUCUGGGGAGAACUUCUACGACCCAGUGAUGACUACUCCGGAGCUCAUCGCUCGAGGGGGAGCUACCACCCUCCGAGCAAGGACUUAUAGGCGAGUAUGAUCCAAUCCUUAACUAUAAGGAUUUCAAGUUCAAUCCAUUCCUUAACUAUAAGGAAGCAAUGCUCAUAUGACCCUUAACUAUAAGGUUAUUAUGUCAUAAUGCCAACUCUCACAUGCACUUGCAUUUUCGACUUUCGUUAGUGUCAUUUACACCACAAGUUCUUUAUUCUCAAUUCUCUAGCAUUGAAUUCUCAAUAAUGCCACACACUAACUCUAGUGGUUCAUGCUCUAGCAUUCAAUAUUCAUUUAGUGCCACACUUGUGCAUUAGCAAUUCUUGACUCAUUAAUGCCACACACACUAACUCUAGUGUUUCAUUGCAUUUACUAAUGCCACUCGAUCUACUUGUCAUAGUGUCACAUUGUUCUUUACCUCAUCUAGGUUUUCAUCACCAAUUAUGCAUACAUAGGGUUCAUAGGUUGUCAACCAUCUCAUAAUGCAUUUGUAGUCACAACAUGCAACAAUUUAUACAAAUACGAUCUCGAUCACCCUACAAUGCAUGCAACAAUAUAUAUACAUAUGCUCAAUAAGUGACAUAUUAGAUAUAAAAGGAAAUUCAAAGAGUUUAGAAAGCACCACCGACCUUGUAGGGUUACUUAGGUGCUAGAGUUCAAGUUCCACGAUUUUUAGCUGCCUAUUCCGCAUGCUGCGGCAAUCUGUACCAAUAUCGACUUUUUUGUCAAUAUCUAUGUGUACACUCGUCGGAUUGCCGAACCGAGCGCACCAACGUGUCGAAAAUAACCCCAAUUAGGUUUGUAUGAGAUCAAUUUAGAUCAAAACCUUACUUAAGCAAAACCCCUCUUUUGGGUGCCCUAUUAUUGCACUAUAGCAACAUACACUAUAAUCCCACUUGAAUCAAGCAAAUACAAGCUUGAAAUCAUCUAGAGGUCCAUUUAAAACCUAUUCUAGGUCAUUCCAAUCCCAUUCUAGGGUUCUACCAUGAGAGGGCUUGAAGCUUACCCUAAAGCUUUCCUUUCCUCAAGCUAAUGGAGAAGAUGAAGGAGUUACUUCACUCCUUAGCCUCCGUCUCCACCAAAUCCUCCUCCUAGCUCCACCUCUUGAGAGAGAGAGAGAUCCUAGAGAGAGAGAGAGCUCCUUUUAGUGUAGUGUAGGGAGAAAUGAGAGAAAGCCCUUAUUUGCCCCUAUACAUAUCCCACUUAAUGCAUAAUUGCAAUUGUGCCCCUCAACUUGUUGCCUCUCACACUGCCUAGACUGGGCAAUUUUUGCUUGGGGGGACCGGUCUCUCUAGUAGGGACCGGACCACGAGAGCACCAUUUUGCAGUUUACGCAGCUAGGGUCCAGUCUCCCCCACCAAGGACCGGUCCCCGAAAGCACACUUUUGUGCAGACUGGCAUUUUGCGCUUCCCACGCAUACGGGGUCCAGUCCCUCCCACCAGGGACCGAUCCCCGAGAGCACAAAAACCUGCAAUUGUGCAGAUUUGCACUAGGUUGCUCUCCGAGACCUUCUACAAUGCACUUUAUGCAUUUUCGACGCGUUCGGCUAUCCCGAAGUGUCCCAACUUCGCACUUUGGUCAAUUUGACUAAAGUUCGAUAAUCUCUACCGAAGUUUCGGUAUAUUACAUUCUCCACCCCUUAAAAUAGU